rnacentral:rRNA from 1 species
AGUGAACGCUGGCGGCAGGCCUAACACAUGCAAGUCGAACGGCAGCACAGAGGAGCUUGCUCCUUGGGUGGCGAGUGGCGGACGGGUGAGGAAUACGUCGGAAUCUGCCUAUUUGUGGGGGAUAACGUAGGGAAACUUACGCUAAUACCGCAUACGACCUACGGGUGAAAGUGGGGGACCGCAAGGCCUCACGCAGAUAGAUGAGCCGACGUCGGAUUAGCUAGUUGGCGGGGUAAAGGCCCACCAAGGCGACGAUCCGUAGCUGGUCUGAGAGGAUGAUCAGCCACACUGGAACUGAGACACGGUCCAGACUCCUACGGGAGGCAGCAGUGGGGAAUAUUGGACAAUGGGCGCAAGCCUGAUCCAGCCAUGCCGCGUGUGUGAAGAAGGCCUUCGGGUUGUAAAGCACUUUUGUCCGGAAAGAAAAGCAUUCGGUUAAUAACCGGGUGUCAUGACGGUACCGGAAGAAUAAGCACCGGCUAACUUCGUGCCAGCCGCCGCAGUAAAAC